AGCAGCCGCGGUAAUUCCAGCUCCAAUAGCGUAUAUUAAAGUUGUUGCAGUUAAAAAGCUCGUAGUUGAAUUUCGGGGUCAGUAGGUUGGUCGUGCCACUGGUAUGUACUGGCUUCACUGAUUCCUCCUUCUUGUAGAACCGUAAUGCCAUUAAUUUGGUGUUGCGAGGAAACAGGACUGUUACUUUGAAAAAAUUAGAGUGUUUAAAGCAGGCUAACGCUUGAAUACAUUAGCAUGGAAUAAUGAAAUAGGACGUUCGAUCCUAUUUUGUUGGUUUCUAGGAUUGACGUAAUGAUUAAUAGGGAUAGUUGGGGGCAUUAGUAUUCAAUUGUCAGAGGUGAAAUUCUUGGAUUUAUUGAAGACUAACUACUGCGAAAGCAUUUGCCAAGGAUGUUUUCAUUAAUCAAGAACGAAAGUUAGGGGAUCGAAGACGAUCAGAUACCGUCGUAGUCUUAACCAUAAACUAUGCCGACUAGGGAUCGGAUGAUGUUAAUUUUUUUAAUGACUCAUUCGGCGCCUU
rnacentral:rRNA from 1 species